rnacentral:lncRNA from 1 species
AUGUCACUAAAGACAAAAGAUUAUACUCACCCUAUUUUCUGCAUGAAGGAAUACAGUCUCACAAAUAAACCAUCGCUUUUUGAGAUGUGGCAGAGAAACAGCAUUCUCAGUCUACCACUCCCUCAGAGGACUCCAGGAGGAUGUGGAAUUGAUGCAUCAUCCCAGAAGCACUCUAAAGACUACCCGGCAGGACUUUCCAGCAGCCAGAGUGGACAUCCUAUAAAGCCUCGCUUCCCAUCUGGGUCACAAAAAGAUGGAAGAGACUCAGUGCUGUCUGAAAAACUGUGCAGCUCCUGAAAUCCGUCCAGGAUCCUGCAUCCUCUCUCCCAUCUGGAAUCAUCAGCCCAGUGAUUUUUCCGAGCAUCACAUUGUUUCCCAACUAUGAAUCCUUCAGGUAUGCCUGGUAUCCUCGACCCACAAAACCUUGACGUGGAUGUAGAAAAAGUAAUGCAAAAUAAGUCUGAUUCACUUCAUCGAUAUAAUUGGGGAGCUAAAGUAAAAAGUAUUUUUGCCUUACUAAUUUUCUCCUAUUGCUUUUACUCUUAAAGACGUUUUACAUCUUUUGUGUUAUGUAAUGUGCACAAUAUCCUUAAUCGUUAGGGAGAAAAGAGAUUAGUAUCCCUUCUCAUAGUAAAACAAAGUCAAAACACAAACAAAAUUAAGACCCAAAUGAAUGUCAUGACCAAACUAGACUUUUCUGGAGCUCAUCUGUAGCCCAUCUCUUCAAUUCAAACACAGGACAUUUUAUAGAAUCAGGAUGCUUU